rnacentral:rRNA from 1 species
ACCUGCGGANGGAUCAUUAUUGGAUUGAAACUUUGGCAGAUGGCUGUUGCUGGCUCCCUCUGGGAUGCACUGUGCACGCCCUCUUGCUUGUUUCAUUCUCUAUCACCUGUGCACUAUUUUGUAGACUUGUAGAGUCUAUGUUAUUCUUAUCAUAAAUACAAUGUUUAAGAAUGUAUUGAUAAAAAGUUAUAUGUAUAUUAUACAACUUUCAACANUGGAUCUCUUGGCUCUUGCAUCGAUGAAGAACGCAGCGAANUGCGAUAAGUAAUGUGAAUUGCAGAAUUCAGUGAAUCAUCGAAUCUUUGAACGCAUCNUGCGCUCCUUGGCAUUCCAAGGAGCAUGCCUGUUUGAGUGUCAUUAAUAUCUCAAAAUGCUUUUUGAAGUGUUUUUGGAAUUUGGGAGUGCAUUGCUGGCUUGUGUUGNCAGCUCNCCUUAAAAGACAACUUUCAGCAUUANAUUUUGGCUCUUCUCUAUCAACUGGUAUGAUAAUUAUCUAUGCCUGUAAAAUGGAGAAGUAAAGCCCUGUAAUUUAUGUUGACCUCAAAUCAGGUAGGAUUACCCGCUGAACUUAAGCAUAUCAAUAAGCGGNGGAAAAGAAACUAACAAGGAUUCCCUUAGUAACUGCGAGUGAAAGUGGGAAAAGCUCAAAUUUAAAAUCUGGCAGUCUUUGGCUGUCUGAGUUGUAAUCUAGAGAAGUGUUGCCUGCACUGGACG